UACGUAGGUGGCAAGCGUUGUCCGGAUUUACUGGGCGUAAAGAGCGCGCAGGCGGUCGUUCAAGUCGCGUGUGAAAGCCCCCGGCUCAACUGGGGAGGGUCACGCGAUACUGAUCGACUCGAAGGCAGGAGAGGGUAGUGGAAUUCCCGGUGUAGUGGUGAAAUGCGUAGAUAUCGGGAGGAACACCAGUGGCGAAGGCAGGUCUCUGGGCCACUACUGACGCUGAGAAGCGAAAGCAUGGGGAGCGAACAGG
rnacentral:rRNA from 1 species